rnacentral:rRNA from 1 species
GAUGAACGCUGGCGGCGUGCUUAACACAUGCAAGUCGAACGGAAAGGCCUCUGCUUGCAGAGGUACUCGAGUGGCGAACGGGUGAGUAACACGUGGGUGAUCUGCCCUGCACUUCGGGAUAAGCCUGGGAAACUGGGUCUAAUACCGGAUAGGACGAUGGUUUGGAUGCCAUUGUGGAAAGUUUUUCGGUGUGGGAUGAGCUCGCGGCCUAUCAGCUUGNGGUGGGGUAAUGGCCUACCAAGGCGUCGACGGGUAGCCGGCCUGAGAGGGUGUACGGCCACAUUGGGACUGAGAUACGGCCCAGACUCCUACGGGAGGCAGCAGUGGGGAAUAUUGCACAAUGGGCGCAAGCCUGAUGCAGCGACGCCGCGUGGGGGA